rnacentral:tRNA from 1 species
GGGACUUUAGCUCAGUUGGUUAGAGCGCGCGACUCAUAAUCGCUAGGUCACUGGUUCGAAUCCAGUAAGUCCCA